rnacentral:rRNA from 1 species
CCUACGGGUGACAGCAGUGAGGAAUAUUGGUCAAUGGGCGUAAGCCUGAACCAGCCAAGUCGCGUGAGGGAUGAAGGUUCUAUGGAUCGUAAACCUCUUUUAUAAGGGAAUAAAGUGUGGGACGUGUCCUGUUUUGUAUGUACCUUAUGAAUAAGGAUCGGCUAACUCCGUGCCAGCAGCCGCGGUAAUACGGAGGAUCCGAGCGUGAUCCGGAUUUAUUGGGUUUAACGGGUGCGUAGGCGGCCUUUUACGUCAGCGGUGAAAGUCUGUGGCUCAACCAUAGAAUUGCCGUUGAAACUGGGAGGCUUGAGUAUGUUUGAGGCAGGCGGAAUGCGUGGUGUAGCGGUGAAAUGCUUAGAUAUCACGCAGAACCACGAUUGCGAAGGCAGCCUGCCAAGCCAUGACUGACGCUGAUGCACGAAAGCGUGGGGAUCAAACAGGAUUAGAUACCCGAGUAGUC